rnacentral:rRNA from 1 species
GACGAACGCUGGCGGCGUGCCUAAUACAUGCAAGUAGAACGCUGAAGGAGGAGCUUGCUUCUCCGGAUGAGUUGCGAACUGGUGAGUAACGCGUAGGUAACCUGCCUGGUAGCUGGGGAUAACUAUUGGAAACGAUAGCUAAUACCGCAUAAGAUUAGAUUUUGCAUGACAUUUUCUUAAAAGGUGCACUUGCAUCACUAUCAGAUGGACCUGUGUUGUAUUAUCUAGUUGGUGGGGUAACGGCUUACCAAGGCGACGAUACAUAUCCGACCUGAGAGGGUGAUAGGCCACACUGGGAAUUGGGCAUCGCCCAGACUCCUACGGGAGGCAGCAGUCGGGAAUCAUCGGCAAUGGACGGAAGUCUGACCGAGCAACGCCGCGUGAGUGAAGAAGGGUUUAGGAUCGUAAAGAUCUGUUGGAAGAGAAGAACGAGUGUGAGAGUGGAAAGUUCACACUGUGACGGUAUCUUACCAGAAAGGGACGGCUAACUACGUG